GAGUUUGAUCUUGGCUCAGAUUGAACGCUGGCGGCAUGCCUUACACAUGCAAGUCGAACGGCAGCACGGGAGCUUGCUCCUGGUGGCGAGUGGCGAACGGGUGAGUAAUGCAUCGGAACGUAUCCUGGAGUGGGGGAUAACGUAGCGAAAGUUACGCUAAUACCGCAUAUUCUGUGAGCAGGAAAGCGGGGGACCUUCGGGCCUCGCGCUCUUGGAGCAGCCGAUGUCGGAUUAGCUAGUUGGUGAGGUAAAGGCUCACCAAGGCGACGAUCCGUAGCAGGUCUGAGAGGAUGAUCUGCCACACUGGAACUGAGACACGGUCCAGACUCCUACGGGAGGCAGCAGUGGGGAAUUUUGGACAAUGGGGGCAACCCUGAUCCAGCCAUGCCGCGUGAGUGAAGAAGGCC
rnacentral:rRNA from 1 species